rnacentral:rRNA from 1 species
CAAAACUACGGUCUCAGUUCAGAUUGCAGGCUGCAACUCGCCUGCAUGAAGUUGGAAAUUGCUAGUAAUCGCGAAUCAGAAUGUCGCGGUGAAUACGUUCCCGGGCCUUGUACACACCGCCCGUCACACCAUGAGAGUCGAUAACACCCGAAGCCUGUGAGCUAACCUUUUAGGAGGCAGCAGUCGAAGGUGGGGUUGAUGAUUGGGGUGAAGUCGUAACAAGGUAGC